CUUAAACUCUUAAACUUAAGCUGUAUAUUAAUAAUAUACAGCUAUUUUAAGGUUGUAGUGUAAAUUUUGUUUUGUUUAUGUUUUAUUUAUUUUCCCAUUUCCCACUGGCAUAAAAAAGUGAGGUUAUUCUUCUUCUCCACUCAACCCGUAUUUGAUGUUCGCACUUCGCACAGACGGUUUCAAAUCGAUCAGAAGUUGUAAUAUUUUACGCAUGCGCAUCAAGAAUGGUUUGGAAACAGUUUCAAACUUAUAAGAAAUUUGCAGUGAGAACAAACCUUAUGUCGACUGAUGUUGUCAGUAAUAAUAUUGAGAUAGGAUCUCAGUUUGAAAGCUAUGAGGAAGUUCAGAAGGCAAUUGAUGAGUAUUCAAAAAGAAAUUUAUCAUUUUAUGGAAACGGGAUGCCAGGACAAUUCAGUCAAGUAAAGUUAAGCGUUUUUUAAGUGAUAAACUUAUUUAUUAUGAACUAAAAUAUGCUUGUGUACAUGAAGGUAGAGGUUUUGUUUCUUGUAGCAAGGGCAUACGUGAAUCGUCGUAAGUACCUAUGUAUAUUUAGUAUUUAUCCCCAUACUUCAUAAUAUUUUUUGUAAUUGCAAUGAAUAGAAUCCAUUAAUAAUAAUGAUCUAUGUUGUAGAACAUAUAGAAAGGAGUGUCCCUUUUUUAUCAGAUUUAGGGCUUCCAAAAAUGGAAAAAGUUUAGAAGUAAUAGCCAUGAACAAUGAACACAACCAUACAAUUUCAAAGGAAUAUUAUGCCCACUACCCAGUUCAAAGACAAAUGCCUGAAGAUAUGAAAAAUAUUACAAAAGAGUUAUUAGUACUAAAGGCAAAUAAAAAACUUGUUAAAGAAAAAAUGAUAGAAAAAACUGGAAAAGUAAUUUAAUGAAAGACGCGUCUAAUUUGGCAUCAGUUAAAAAUGUGAAGAGGGAUAAUUUGGCCUACUGCAUUAAGCUAAUACAGGAUAAAUAUGGAGUUGGAUAAUAAAAAUGCCAAAGAAAAUUAAAAAAAGAGGUAGAGUAAAAGGUGAGGCUCUGACAACCAUUGGCUUGCCUAGAAGAAGAAAAAUUAAUAAAAAACUUACGCCAUUUGCCAAACUUAGCAUUAAUGAAAAACAACGAUUUAUUCUAAGGUUGCUAAAUAUAGAGGAUAACGAAUUUACGUCCAUUAAUGACGAUAUUAAAAAAAUUACCAAAGAUGAUGUUCAUUUAAUGGAAUUUAACUGCAAAAUUUUUGAUGACAAUAUAAAUUUCCAUUUAGUCAAGUACGUUCAUUAAAGUAAAAAUACAAUAAAUAAUAAUAAUAAUAAUAAUGUAAUAAAGUAUACCUAUUAUCUA
rnacentral:lncRNA from 1 species